rnacentral:rRNA from 1 species
UACAGAGGGUGCGAGCGUUAAUCGGAAUUACUGGGCGUAAAGCGUGCGUAGACGGCUAUCUAAGUCAGGUGUGAAAGCCCCGGGCUCAACCCAGGAAGUGCACUUGAAACUUCGGUGGCUUGAGUUCUGGAGAGGAUGGCGGAAUUCUCGGUGUAGAGGUGAAAUUCGUAGAUAUCGAGAGGAACACCGGUGGCGAAGGCGGCUAUCUGGACAGUGACUGACGCUGAGACGCGAAAGCGUGGGGAGCAAACAGG